rnacentral:rRNA from 1 species
UACGGAGGGUGCAAGCGUUAUCCGGAUUCACUGGGUUUAAAGGGUGCGUAGGAGGGCAGGUAAGUCAGUGGUGAAAUCCCCCGAGCUUAACUUGGGAACUGCCGUUGAUACUAUCUGUCUUGAAUAUUAUGGAGGUGAGCGGAAUAUGUCAUGUAGCGGUGAAAUGCUUAGAUAUGACAUAGAACACCAAUUGCGAAAGGCAGCUCGCUACACAUAUAUUGACUCUGAGGCACGAAAGCGUGGGGAUCAAACAGG